GAUGAACGCUGGCGGCGCGCCUAACACAUGCAAGUCGAACGGCGCCUAUCUUCGGAUAGAAGCGAGUGGCGAACGGCUGAGUAACACGUGGAGAACCUGCCCCCUCCCCCGGGAUAGCCGCCCGAAAGGACGGGUAAUACCGGAUACCCCGGGGUGCCGCAUGGCACCCCGGCUAAAGCCCCGACGGGAGGGGAUGGCUCCGCGGCCCAUCAGGUAGACGGCGGGGUGACGGCCCACCGUGCCGACAACGGGUAGCCGGGUUGAGAGACCGACCGGCCAGAUUGGGACUGAGACACGGCCCAGACUCCUACGGGAGGCAGCAGUGGGGAAUCUUGCGCAAUGGGGGGAACCCUGACGCAGCGACGCCGCGUGCGGGACGGAGGCCUUCGGGUCGUAAACCGCUUUCAGCAGGGAAGAGUCAAGACUGUACCUGCAGAAGAAGCCCCGGCUAACUACGUGCCAGCAGCCGCGGUAAUACGUAGGGGGCGAGCGUUAUCCGGAUUCAUUGGGCGUAAAGCGCGCGUAGGCGGCCCGGCAGGCCGGGGGUCGAAGCGGGGGGCUCAACCCCCCGAAGCCCCCGGAACCUCCGCGGCUUGGGUCCGGUAGGGGAGGGUGGAACACCCGGUGUAGCGGUGGAAUGCGCAGAUAUCGGGUGGAACACCGGUGGCGAAGGCGGCCCUCUGGGCCGAGACCGACGCUGAGGCGCGAAAGCUGGGGGAGCGAACAGGAUUAGAUACCCUGGUAGUCCCAGCCGUAAACGAUGGACGCUAGGUGUGGGGGGACGAUCCCCCCGUGCCGCAGCCAACGCAUUAAGCGUCCCGCCUGGGGAGUACGGCCGCAAGGCUAAAACUCAAAGGAAUUGACGGGGGCCCGCACAAGCAGCGGAGCAUGUGGCUUAAUUCGAAGCAACGCGAAGAACCUUACCAGGGCUUGACAUAUGGGUGAAGCGGGGAGACCCCGUGGCCGAGAGGAGCCCAUACAGGUGGUGCAUGGCUGUCGUCAGCUCGUGUCGUGAGAUGUUGGGUUAAGUCCCGCAACGAGCGCAACCCCCGCCGCGUGUUGCCAUCGGGUGAUGCCGGGAACCCACGCGGGACCGCCGCCGUCAAGGCGGAGGAGGGCGGGGACGACGUCAAGUCAUCAUGCCCCUUAUGCCCUGGGCUGCACACGUGCUACAAUGGCCGGUACAGAGGGAUGCCACCCCGCGAGGGGGAGCGGAUCCCGGAAAGCCGGCCCCAGUUCGGAUUGGGGGCUGCAACCCGCCCCCAUGAAGUCGGAGUUGCUAGUAAUCGCGGAUCAGCAUGCCGCGGUGAAUGCGUUCCCGGGCCU
rnacentral:rRNA from 1 species